rnacentral:rRNA from 1 species
UACGUAGGGUGCGAGCGUUGUCCGGAAUUAUUGGGCGUAAAGGGCUCGUAGGCGGUUUGUCGCGUCGGGAGUGAAAACACCGGGCUUAACUCGGUGCUUGCUUUCGAUACGGGCAGACUAGAGGCAUGCAGGGGAGAACGGAAUUCCUGGUGUAGCGGUGAAAUGCGCAGAUAUCAGGAGGAACACCCGUGGCGAAGGCGGCUCUCUGGGACGGUACUGACGCUGAGACGCGAAAGCGUGGGGAGCGAACAGG